rnacentral:rRNA from 1 species
UACGAAGGGGGCUAGCGUUGCUCGGAAUCACUGGGCGUAAAGCGCACGUAGGCGGACUCUUAAGUCGGUGGUGAAAUCCUGGAGCUCAACUCCAGAACUGCCUUCGAUACUGAGAGUCUCGAGUCCGAGAGAGGUGAGUGGAACUGCGAGUGUAGAGGUGAAAUUCGUAGAUAUUCGCAAGAACACCAGUGGCGAAGGCGGCUCACUGGCUCGGUACUGACGCUGAGGUGCGAAAGCGAUGGGGAGCAAACAGGGGAUUAAGAA